GAUGAAAUGGCUGAUAAUAGGCGAUAAAUUGUAAAUUUAUAUAUGAAUGUUAUAAUUCUUUCAUUA
rnacentral:tRNA from 1 species